rnacentral:lncRNA from 10 species
GGUCGCUUCUCGCAGGCGGCGCGCUUGCUGGGUCACAGUGAGGCGGCUCCGCGCAGGCGCAGCCGGGCGGGCGAGGAGCGGGGAAGCUGACUCAGGGCUGCGGCCGGGGUCCUGCGGGGUAGGAGCGCGAGGCCGGCCUGAGGGAGGAGGCCUAGCGACCCAUCCGGCGCCUCCCGCCCCGGGCACCCGCCCGCGGCCGCGCAUCCUGCGGGCCCCAGGAGGCCUCCAUCUCAAAACAACGUGUUUUUAGAGAACUCAAGGGCUGUGAAAAGAGCAGGACCUCACCAGCUGCACGGCGGUGGUGACUGGCUCCAUCUUGCUGUCCCUCCCAAUCACACAACAUCUCCCCUUGAAGGCUCUGCCCAGGCCCGGACUCCCACCUUUCAAGAUGUCUGGAUCAGUGCAGGACCUCCUCCUUGGCCACAUCGCUCUCCUUGGACUGUGUUGACUCACCUGUGGAGUGGUCUGAGCCUGAAUGCCCGGGGCUGUGGCCACCGAGUGAACGGGCUGUGCUAAGGGGAAUUGCCACCUUGGGAAACCUGUGUAGUUGCGGCUUUUCUGAUUAAGUAUCAAUAAAAGUCUGACCUUGUGAAAAAAGCAAACGUGAGUGGCCCUGCUUAUGUUUCACCUUGCGUUGCUCAGUGAUAGUUCUGCAAAGUCGCAGGAAACCUGGAAUCAUCUAAUUAUCGUGAGUGUUGGUGAGUAACACCCAUAGGCACUGGCUCCCGGGGAAAUACAGAGUCAGGUUCCUCCGAGCCGCUGGCCACAGCAUUUUUGGUUCCUUAUUUAAUAAUGUCUAGUUGAUUCAUUAACAUGGAAUUCAUGGCCAGUACCUCUGUCACUCAUGCCUGACUGAAGUUGAUCAGCACGUCUUUUUCUCCCUUAGGCACAUGACAGCCUUCUUGCAAUCAAGAAACUACGUGUGGCCAGGAUCUCAUCCACUAUCACAGUUUCAGCUUUCCCCAAACUGGAAUGUGUCUUUGCAGACGCCCAUCCUUAUUAAAGGGCAAAGACUUCUCAUACACCUAGGAUGGAUCUUAUAUUCUUGGCGGGACUGCAGAGAAGGUGCCGUGUCCUGAGUCCUCAUGUCAGGGCACAGGCUUCCAGCCAGUUCUACCUGGGUUAUGUUUAUCUCAAUUCCCUGGUGGUAUUGGUGUCUGCUGGGUUUUGCCAGAAUGAAGACACCGUGUUUUCAUUUGUCAGUUGAUUCGUAUUUUCCAGGAAGACAUUCUGAGAUUACAGCAUUGUCUUAGUCAAGGUGCUGCAGAAGGACAGAACUAAUAGGAUAUAUGUACAUAUGAAAGAAAGUUUAUGAAGAACUGGCUCACACCAUCACAAGGCAAAGUCCCAUGACAGGCCAUCUGCAAGCUGAGGAGCGAGGAAGCCAGCAGUGGCUCAGCCGGAGUCCAACAGCCUCAAACGGAAUCCAACAGUUCAGGCUUCAGUCUGUGGCCAAAUGCCCAGAGACCCCGGAAAGCUACUGGUGUUAGUCCCAGAGCCGGAAGGCCAAAGAACCUGGAGUGUGAUGUCCAAGGGCAGGAGGAAUGGACAGAAGCAUCCAGCAUGGGGUAAAGACGAAAGCCAGAAGACUCAGCAAGCUAGCUUACCUACUUUCUUCUGCCUGCCUUGUUCUAGCCGCGCUGGCAGCCGGUUGGAGGGUGCCCACCCCCACUGAGGGUGGAUCUUCCUCUCCUAGUCCACUGACUCAAAUUUCAGUCUCUCUGGGAGCACCAUCACACCAGAAACAAUACCAGCCAUCUAGCCACCCUUCAGUUCACCAUCACAACCAUUGUCUUAUUCAUGAAACUUCUGCAGACCCACCUUAACCUCCAUCGGUGACUUCUACCUGAAGCCCUCUGAUUGUUGCCCAGUGGUGCUUUUUAAAAUAAUUUCCAUAGUUUCUUCUACACCUUUAGUUGGCAUUCUACUGUAAAGGAGAGAUUUUAUUUUCUUACUCAUUUAUUUGUUAGUUUAUAGUCACCACCAUAUGGAUGCAGAGUUCUGUCUCAUUCACUGGGAAGUAUUCUAUUGCAGUCAUGAUUUAUUUUGAUGUUCACAUCCCAGAGUUGGUGAGUGAGCGCCCCUUCACGCUGGCUCCCGAGUGCUGACGUGUCCCCGUCCUUCUCUGCACUUUUCCUUACCUCCUGGCCUCAGAUAUUCCAGGGUCAUUUGUUCUCUCCCUGCUCCAACCCUGCAGUCAGCCAUCUCCCUAGGGACGUUGGUUCCUUUAUGGAAGGUGGCAUUUAGAAGCCAGGAUUUGGGCUGAGCACUGUGGCUCAUGCUUGUAAUCCCAGCACUUGGGGAGGCCGAAGUGGGCGGAUCGCUGGAGGCCAAGAGUCUGAGACCAGCCUGGCUAACAUGGUGAAACCCUUCCCCGUCUCUACUACAAAUAAAAAAUUAGCUGGGUGUGUUGGCACGUGCCUGUAAUCCCAGUUACUCAGGAGGCUGAAGCACCAGAAUCUCUUGAACCCAGGAGGCCGAGGUUGCAGUGAGCCAAGAUUGCACCACUGCACUACAGCUUGGGUGACAGCGCGAGACACCGUCUCAAAAAGGAUAAUAAUUUAAAAAACAGCAGGAUUUGGGUGAGCAGUGCGCUCAUUGCUUCUGGGCUCUCUCGGUGGACAUAGGCUAGGAAUGUAAGAUGUAUGUGCCUGUGUAUAUACACACGUCUGUAGCUAUGUCUAUGUUGCAUACAUGUGUUUUUCCAAAAACCAAAUCCAUAACCAUGCCUUCAGUUUCAGCCCAACACCUCCGGGCUCUUUCUAGCUUUCUACCUUUCAUGAUUGUGAAUACCUUCUCCAGCAGUGAGAAACCUGGCUCCUUUGUCCUCAGUGGAUUUUCUUAUUUGCUCAAUUUUUUUGUUUUUUGUUUUGUUUUUGUUUUUGAGACAGAGUCUUGUUCUGUCACCCAAGCUGGAGUGCAGUGGCAUAAUCUCGGCUUACCGCAACCUCUGCCUCCUGG